rnacentral:rRNA from 1 species
CAGUCGCCGCGGUAAUACGUAGGUCUCGAGCGUUGUCCGGAUUUAUUGGGCGUAAAGCGAGCGCAGGCGGUUAAAUAAGUCUGAAGUUAAAGGCUGUGGCUUAACCAUAGUACGCUUUGGAAACUGUUUAACUUGAGUGCAAGAGGGGAGAGUGGAAUUCCAUGUGUAGCGGUGAAAUGCGUAGAUAUAUGGAGGAACACCGGUGGCGAAAGCGGCUCUCUGGCUUGUAACUGACGCUGAGGAGCGAAAGCGUGGGGAGCGAACAGGAUUAGAUACCCGUGUAGUCCCUGUCUCUUAUACA